CCCCUAGAUGUUCUGGGCCGCACGCGCGCUACACUGAACAGUUCAACAAGUCUUAACCUUGGCCGAUAGGUCUGGGUAAUCUUUGAACGCUGUUCGUGAUUGGGAUAGACCUUUGCAAUUAUGGGUCUUCAACGAGGAAUUCCUAGUAAACGCAAGUCAUCAGCUUGCAUUGAUUACGUCCCUGCCCUUUAUACACACCGCCCGUCGCACCUACCGAUUGAAUGGUCCGGUGAAAUCUCGGGACGGCGGCUUGGUCGCUUGCGUCCGACUGCUGAAACUUGAUUAAACCAUAUCAUUUAGAGGAAGGUGAAGUCGUAACA
rnacentral:rRNA from 1 species